rnacentral:rRNA from 1 species
AUGGAUUUGGCCGAGAAUUCGAUCGUGUCCGCGGCUUUCCCGCUGCUGGUGCUUGCGCCGCCGCCAGAUUCAGAUUGUUCGUCGUACAAGGUCUUCAGUUUACCCGAGCAGAAGCUUCAAGAUGUAACUUCGUCGGUGUCGACUAAGAAGGUAUGCUUUGCGACGCCGCAAGGCUGGGUCCUGGUCCUGAGCUCCUCCGAUUCCUCGCCAGAAGACGCAGGGACCCAUCUCCUGAACCCUAAGGACGGAUCAAAAAUCGAGCUUCCGACUCUCAAGGACGACGAGGUCCCGUGGACGUGCAGGUGCGUCUUGUCCAACGUCGUGGGUAUUGCCCGAGUCAUGAGGCACGCAGGCCCUCGAUCCUAUACACGUGGGCAUGCAUAA